rnacentral:pre_miRNA from 1 species
AGCUUUCUGCAUCCGUGCUGAGAUCUCGUCACACACCAGACCAUAAGGGCAGAUGAGACUUCCAAGAUAAGUGAAGGA